GAAUUCAAACUUCAACCAUUAAAUCACAGAGAGAAGAGACAGACAUGAAGAUGUUUCCAGAAGGUCUCUGAAACGCCACCAGUGCUGUCGCAUAUCCCAUAACGCCAGGGAGUCAAGAGCGCUUGGACAGGCGUUCACACUUUGUCUGCUUCAGAAUCACUUCUGUCUCCGACUGACCCUCCUCCCACUGAAAUCAACCCGACUCAACUCUACUGUGACAUUGAGUAUUUUUAACUGUUUUCCAUGCUUUACUAGUUUAUGACAGUAUUUAAGUGUUUAUGAUUGUUUGUUAUGCUUUACUGUAUUAUGACAUUUUUGAAUGUUGUUCAUGCCUUGAGUGUUUUUGACAGUUUUCCAUGUUUUACUGUUUGCCUUGUUGUACUGACAUUUUUGACUGUUGUUCACUGUUUUGUAUGUGUUUUUAUUGUGUGACAAUAAAUUGUGUGUGUG